GUAAAACUCAUAUGAAACCAAAAAAGAGCUCAAAGAGCCAAAGUCAUCCUCAGCAAAAACAACAAAACUAGAAGCACCCCAUUUCACUGCAAAUUAGAAUGACAAAAUUUUUGACAAGUGCAUGGUAACCAAAACAGCAUGGUCCUAGCAUAAAACUAGACACAUAGAUCAAUGGGACGGAUGACAGAGCCCAGAAAGACAGCCACAUAGUCUUGGGGCUUGUGUCUCUCCUGCUGUGCAUCCAUGCUGGGUGCUUUACAUACAACAGGCAGACAAGAAGUCCCUGUUGCAAGUGAGGACAAAGUGUGGGAAGGCCGUGAGGGUCUGCAGUCCCAGAUGGCCUUGGCCUCACCCCGCAGUGCGCUUUUGCACCAGAGUGCCACCUUCUUCUCCAGGUCCAGGUCUUCAGCAGUGACCCCAGACCCCAGCUGUAAGGGAGGUGGCAGCAUCAGAGGCUCCCCUUGCCUGAGUGGCAGCAGAGGAAACUUGCAUCUAUGGGGCCUAGAGGCCUGGGAUGUGGGGGAGCCAUUCCUGGGGGCAAGUGUCUGCCCUGGUGCUGCAUCUGCUGCCUUUUCACACUGGGUGAGACCCCAAGAGACAGCCUGAGGCCGGUCCUCACUCACUGUCUUUGAGGACCUGAGGGGCAGCUGACAGUGGGAUGAGGCUGGCCCCCUCCUCUUUGGUGACAGGAAGCCUCCCAUGGAACUGUAGGAGCUCACGAUGGCAUUUUGUUUGGUGCACGAACUCAUCCAGGAGGUCUGGGAUCUCUGGUUUUAUCCGACUUCUGACCUCUGGGCAUGGAGGUCUCUCUGCAGAGGCCCAGGCCUGGGCACGAAGGGAGAGAGGCCUCCAUUGUCCCACAGGGGCCUAAAUGCAGACUGUGCAUCCCCGGUGCCCUCAGGAACCCUUCUCUGAUCAUCAGGAUUCUCUUGGACUCUGGGGUCCUUGUCCUGCUCAGGCAUCCCUGCCCCCCUCUUCAGGAGGGCCCUCAACACGAUCUUCUCUGGACAGGAGUCUGGGGCACAACUGGAUGUUGUGGGCCCCAAAGGGGUGACUCCCUGCUCCUGGGCCCCACAGAGAGUCCUUGUGCUCAGUGCACUGGCUGAGCUGCAAGACAUCCUGGAAUUGGGAGCACACAGCACCGGCUUGCUGUGGUACCUGUGCAUUCAAAUUGAAGGCAGGAUCGCCAGCAAGGAACACAGGGCUUGCAGGAUCACAGAAAACCCUUGGAGUUGUUUUGACACACCACUGAUGCCAAGUGUCUGGGUACUUGUAGGAUGGCCCUGCCAUUCCAUCCAGGGGCAGUGGCAACAGGGAGAUUCCACAAACAAAGUGAACUGGGGGAUGGGAUGAGCAGGCUCCAGGCAACUGAGCCCUACUGGCAGGCCCUUGGCCCCCGGGGCCGGGACAGGGGUGACAGACACAGAGUGCCCAGGUAACCACUCCUGGGAGCAGUGGGGAACCGUCGGAUGCUUCAACUCUUGAGAGCUGGGCUCUAAGCAUCCGCCUUAGCUGCCAACUUGGCCAAAGGCUAUGCGAGCAGUUUCCCGUUGACGGGCAAUGCAUCUUUCCAACCUGAGCGAGUGGGUGUGUGUGCAAAGAUGGUGCGAGUCACGGAUCUGCGCAGGAAGGGUGACUUUAAGGGAUUAGCAUGGCCAGGUAUGCACACAAGGCACCUGCUGGCAAUGCCUUGGUGGGGAGCGGGCAGUGCACACAAGAGGUACUGGAGGGAGAGGCGCGCGGGAAGAACAGGCGCGCACAAUGGCUGCAGAUCCACCUGUGGAUCGCUGAAGAUUCCUGCUGAGGGUUGAGGCUGCUGGGCUGGAGGACUGUAUGGUCCAUGCAUUGUAAUGUCCCCUUCUCUCCCUGGCCCGGAGCCCCAAGAGCUAUCCGGACUCUCUCCAAGACCUGGUUCUGGCCCAGCAAAGAGGUCUCGGCAGGGGAGCAGGAUUCCCGGCCCAGCAGCUGGCUCAGGAGGUGACAGCUUUGGGAUUCGCAUCUGAGCAUCCUCCUACUCUUCUCCUGGGAACUCUGUUGGGGAGGGUUGCUCAGAACAGAAGUGCCUGGGACGCCCAGAUCCUGCUGGAGUGGCAGCUGGGGUGAUGGCCAGGGCAGGCUGGGAGGGACAUACUUUCCAUAGGACCCAGUGCUUUCAUCUCCGUGCAACUGACCAAGAGAAACCAAACCCAAACUCCUUCCUUUACACAGACCUAUUUGAGGGAGGCUGGGUAUUGUUUGUGUAUUUCAACCUAACAAGAUUUUGAGAUAGUUGGAAUGCAGAAGGAGACAGGAGGACUCAAGUGUCCUGUCUUUUGCAAAAAUGUCAAACGUAGCUACUCAGUCUCUUUUUUGUUUUUUUGUUUGUUUUGAAGACUAUGGUUAUUUUGCAAAAUAUAUAUUAUUUGAGUUUCUCUAAAAAAAAAAAAAAAAAAAA
rnacentral:lncRNA from 1 species